UACGUAGGGUGCGAGCGUUAAUCGGAUUUACUGGGCGUAAAGCGUGCGCAGGCGGCCCGUUAAGACAGGUGUGAAAUCCCUGGGCUCAACCUAGGAAUUGCGCUUGUGACUGGCGGGCUCGAGUACGGUAGAGGGGGGUGGAAUUCCUGGUGUAGCAGUGAAAUGCGUAGAGAUCAGGAGGAACACCGAUGGCGAAGGCAGCCCCCUGGGCCUGUUCUGACGCUCAUGCACGAAAGCGUGGGGAGCAAACAGG
rnacentral:rRNA from 1 species